CCUGCCUCAGCCUCCCAAAGUGCUGGGAUUACAGGCGUCUGGCCAUCUUCUAAAGAGUUUGAACCUACUGAAGAACUAUCUUGACUGUCUUGAUGAGGGAGCUGAAGAAAUCCUUCACUGGAGUCUGAGCGGGAUUUUGGAAGCAUUGCCUUCUACAGAAUCCAUAGUGGUCCGAAGCUCUUCUACAGUUUUUGUCAAACUUUGAUUUUCCAUCUCUAACUUCAAUAAUCUACUUGAUGUCAACUCAUUCACCUCAUGGCCCAGGGAUUUCUGUGGUGCUAUAAUAUUGAAAAAUACACCAUUGUAUUUACUCUUUACCAUUUUUACUAUGUUUACUCUUUACUAUUUAAAAAGUUCAGUAUAUAUGCAUUGCAUCAUUUGAUCCUUAACUUUAUUAAAAAUUCAAUGAGAUUAUAUAAGAUAAACACGAUAAGAGAGAUAAAUCUUUUUCUCCUUUUCUUUUUUUCUUUUUUUAAAGAGAUGGGAUCUCUCUCUGUCAUCCAGGCUGGAGUGCAGUGAUGCAUUCCUAGCUCACUGCAGCCUCAAACUCCUGGUCUGAAGGGAUCCUCCCACUUCAGUCUCCCAAGCGGUUGGGACUACAGGUACAGCCAACUAAUUUUUUUAUUUUUUAGUAAAGACUGGGUCUCUGUUACUUAGGCUGGUCUGGAACUCCUGAGCUCAAGCAAUCCUCCUGCCUUAGCCUCCCAAAGUGCUGGGAUUACAGGCAUGAGCUGCUGCACCCAGCCAAGAGAUGAAUCUUUAACUUUUAAUGCAUCCACAGCAUUCUAGUGAAAAAAAGCAUAAAAUUUAGAUUGAAGAAACUGGAGUUCAAGCAGACCCAUUAAAUAUUUUGCUGAUACAAGAACAUUAGGAUUUACAAAUGAAAGAUGAGACCUACUAUUUCAAGAAAGGAAAUGAAUAAAGGCACUGGAGGGAAUUUCCAGGUC